CUGCGGAAGGAUCAUUACCGAGUGCGGGCCCCUCGGGGCCCAACCUCCCACCCGUGUUGCCCGAACCUAUGUUGCCUCGGCGGGCCCCGCGCCCGCCGACGGCCCCCCUGAACGCUGUCUGAAGUUGCAGUCUGAGACCUAUAACGAAAUUAGUUAAAACUUUCAACAACGGAUCUCUUGGUUCCGGCAUCGAUGAAGAACGCAGCGAAAUGCGAUAACUAAUGUGAAUUGCAGAAUUCAGUGAAUCAUCGAGUCUUUGAACGCACAUUGCGCCCUCUGGUAUUCCGGAGGGCAUGCCUGUCCGAGCGUCAUUGCUGCCCUCAAGCCCGGCUUGUGUGUUGGGCCCCGUCCCCCCCGCCGGGGGGACGGGCCCGAAAGGCAGCGGCGGCACCGCGUCCGGUCCUCGAGCGUAUGGGGCUUCGUCACCCGCUCUAGUAGGCCCGGCCGGCGCCAGCCGACCCCCAACCUUUAAUUAUCUCAGGUUGACCUCGGAUCAGGUAGGGAUACCCGCUGAACUUAAGCAUAUCAAA
rnacentral:rRNA from 1 species